rnacentral:misc_RNA from 1 species
AAGUCGUAACAAGGUUUCCGUAGGUGAACCUGCGGAAGGAUCAUUAAAAGGUUUAUCUGGGGGUGGGUGAAACCCCCCUAGAAAACUCCACCCUUGUGUAUUAUUACUUGUUGCUUUGGUGGGCCGCGAGAUUGCCUAGCGAUUGAGCACCGGCUUCGGCUGGGGAGCGCCUGCCAGAGGACCAAACUCUGUUAUUUUAUGUCGUCUGAGUACUAUUUAAUAGUUAAAACUUUCAACAACGGAUCUCUUGGUUCUG